rnacentral:misc_RNA from 1 species
AGUGCAAAUUUCCAGCCAACACUGUAAUUGAGAUUGCAUAGAAGAGCAUCAAUCCAUUCACUCUUCCCGGAGUUUGGGACUCCUGUAACAAUAGUCAACUCUCCCGGUACAACAUUGUAUAGAUGAUUUAAGGACCUCCAUCCAGUUGGAACCCCAAGCUCGUAGCCAAUUGUUUGAUGAUAAUAUGCAUCAAUCUCAGUAAAGUAAUUAUUAAAGUUGAAUAAUCCUUGUAUCGGGUACAGCUCUGCACCUUCAAUAACCUCUCUCAGUGCACCAGGCCCCAGACACAUAAGUACCUCAUUUGCAUCUUUGAAGUGAUCUAUAGUGCUCUUUUUU